ncrna:Ornithorhynchus anatinus (platypus) microRNA oan-mir-192 precursor
ACAGGGCUCUGACCUAUGAAUUGACAGCCAGUUCUCUCUGACCCCUCUGGCUGCCAAUUCCAUAGGUCACAGGUAUGU